GGCUGGUCUGAAUACAGUGGUGUUUACAACUAAUUGAUCACAACCAGUUAUAGAUUCCUUUGUUCCUUCUCCACUCCCACUGCUUCACUUGACUAGACUUAA
rnacentral:Y_RNA from 1 species